GUAUAAUAUUUUUCUUGUUUUUUUAGUUUUAUUUCUUUUCAUGGUAAUGGUGAAUCAUUACUUGUGUAAUGUCUCUUCCACUUAGUUUUUUUUUCAGUACAUCUGAUACCAGUCUAUGGCUAUGAUACACAUUUUUAGAAGUAAUGUUUAGGUAUUAUGAAGCAUAGUAAUUAAAUACCCUAUAUACACUUGUUGAUUAUAGCCAUUACCCUGCCACAAUUUAAAUUUUAAUGAACUAAUUGGACAUGUAUCAAUCAUCUGGCACUUAAAUUGGACCCCUAGAGAAAAGAUUAUAUUAAAAUUGGUUUAAUCAAUUUAUGACAUACCCAAUAACUGAGUGUUGUUUCUUAACUACAUGUUUUUUCUAUAGCAAUUUCCGUAACACAUUUCAAAAUCAAACUAACCAAGUACAUGCCAAUAGAAUUAUUAGCCAGCAGGCAACCUUGCUGCCUAGAAAUCAGUAUUUCAACAUUUUCUAUUGAGCAGCAACAUGUCUGGAAGUGGCCAUCACUACACUUCAACUUGUUAUGAAUUAACACAUUUACUGACACAACAGAAAAUUACACUAUUGGAGCAGAGCCAAUAUAUAUUUCAUGAUAAUUUAAAGCCGAGCAGAUAGUGCAUCAUGGUGGUCAGAAAAGCUUAUAAAUGUUUGUCUUCAUGGAUGUAUAAUAUAAACAUAAAUGCCAUCUGUUUGUCUUGUCUUGGACAUUGCAAACUCUACCCUGGGUUAUAGCUGCUUUGUAUCUCCUGAUGCAGUGAAGAUCUUUUCUAAAUUUUCUUGCUAUGCUAUUACUGUACAGGAGGAUGGAUGACACUAGGGAAUUCUCUGUCCAACAUUAACUGAUUGUCAGAAGGUACAUUCCACUAUUCUCAAAACUCUUCUAAGCUAUAUUUGAAAUUAUAUAAAUUGCUAUGUACAGUUAUUGUUAGGAGUAGCAUACUGCUCUGCUACUCGUAACAAACAAUAACUACUGUAGUUGCCCACCUGGUAGCAGCCCCAGGAGUGUAAACAGUCAACUGGUGAUUGCACUUCACUUUAUCCCAGAUUCUCCCUCUUAGAAUACAAGUUUAGCCAAUGAGUGACCUCUUCUGUUAUGUGACAGCCGAGUCAUUGUGAGCCUGUUUAGUUCCUUAGCUUUAUUGAAUGGUUCAUGUGUGCGUGUGUAUUUACUGCAGGUCUCUCAUGCUCACCAAACUGAUAUGGGCAGUUUCUUUCUGUGUUUGGCAGUAUGCUAGUUCAUAAAAGGCCUUUUAGGAACUACCUCUGAAUUAGCCUUUAACUUUCAAGUUUCCCUAGCUAAGUACUGAUCCUGCCAAUACUAAGGGAGUUAUACCUGAGGCCCACCCUUGCUUACCAAGAACCAAGACCAGAAUGUGUCUCUACAAGGUGAGGAGAGCUUGGGGAACAAAAAUCAACCCAAAAUAGUGUGGAAAAACUUAAGUGCAACAAAGUAAGCAACUGCUAAAAUAAAAUGAUGUAUCCAGAGGUAACGAGACAAACUAUAGUUGGUGCAGGGUCUUGUAUCCUGAGGUAACGAGACAAACUAUAGUUGGUGCAGGGUCUUGUAUCCUGAGGUAACGAGACAAACUAUAGUUGGUGCAGGGUCUUGUAUCCAGAGGUAACGAGACAAACUAUAGUUGGUGCAGGGUCUUGUAUCCUGAGGUAACGAGACAAACUAUAGUUGGUGCAGGGUCUUGUAUCCUGAGGUAACGAGACAAACUAUAGUUGGUGCAGGGUAAAGACCCUCCCUGUGAUGCACCAAACUACCACCAGGUGGCAGCUCAGGACCACAGGUCUCUUCAGGAUCCA